AUGCUUAGUUGGGAGACAUUGACCAAACCGAAGAAGGAAGGGGGAAUGGGCUUCCGUGAUCUAUAUGGGUUCAACCUAGCCAUGUUGGCGAGACAAGCGUGGAAGCUCGUGACCACACCCGAUUCCCUAUGUGCCAAGGUGCUGAAGGCCCGUUACUUCCCUGCUACAUCGAUCCUACAUGCUGAACCUGCUCAUGGAAUAUCAUAUACUUGGCGCAGCAUCCUCAAGGGGUGGAUUUAUUGA
rnacentral:rRNA from 1 species